UCUCCGUUGGUGAACCAGCGGAGGGAUCAUUACAGGAUCGAAAGACUCCUAUAACCCCUGUGAACUUACUACAAAUACGUUGCUUCGGCGGGUGCCCCGGGUCUCCCGGGGCGUUCAGCCCGCCGGCAGCCUUCAAAUUCUGUUUCUUUGCGUUGGCAUCUCGAGUAUACAAAAAUAAGUUAAAACUUUCAACAACGGAUCUCUUGGCUCUG
rnacentral:misc_RNA from 1 species